rnacentral:rRNA from 1 species
GCACAGGCUGUGAACUCGAAGAGUAGGGCGGGACACGUGGUAUCCUGUCUGAAUAUGGGGGGACCAUCCUCCAAGGCUAAAUACUCCUGACUGACCGAUAGUGAACCAGUACCGUGAGGGAAAGGCGAAAAGAACCCCGGCGAGGGGAGUGAAAAAGAACCUGAAACCGUGUACGUACAAGCAGUGGGAGCACCUUCGGGUGUGACUGCGUACCUUUUGUAUAAUGGGUCAGCGACUUAUAUUCUGUAGCAAGGUUAACCGUAUAGGGGAGCCGCAGGGAAACCGAGUCUUAACUGGGCGUUAAGUUGCAGGGUAUAGACCCGAAACCCGGUGAUCUAGCCAUGGGCAGGUUGAAGGUUGGGUAACACUAACUGGAGGACCGAACCGACUAAUGUUGAAAAAUUAGCGGAUGACUUGUGGCUGGGGGUGAAAGGCCAAUCAAACCGGGAGAUAGCUGGUUCUCCCCGAAAGCU